rnacentral:rRNA from 1 species
UACGGAGGAUGCAAGCGUUAUCCGGAUUUAUUGGGUUUAAAGGGUGCGCAGGUUGUUUGAUAAGUCAGUGGUGAAAGUCUGUCGCUUAACGGUAGGAUUGCCAUUGAUACUGUUGGACUUGAAUAUGGAUGAGGUAGGCGGAAUGUGUAGUGUAGCGGUGAAAUGCAUAGAUAUUACACAGAACACCGAUUGCGAAGGCAGCUUACUAAUCCAUCAUUGACGAUGAGGCACGAAAGCGUGGGGAGUCAAACAGGA